AUGGAAGCAGAACAUGGACAAGAAGCAAUGAUGAGCUCAGGCCAGCUGCCAGUGGGAUUUAGGUUUAUGCCAACAGAUAAGGAGUUGGUCACUCACUAUCUAAUGGACAAGGUGUUUGAUAGGCAUGUGCCAGCUGCUGAGGCAAUUCAGGACAUUGACGCAACCCAAUUCUACAGCACCCAUCCGAAGAAUCUAGGUAAUAAUUUUCUACCUUGUUAUAUUAUAUUAUAUCGAUAUGUAAUGAAAACCAUAAAAACUGAAACAGCAAGUUCAACAAACUCAAGAUUCAUGCCAAAAGUCUACUUUACUUCUGAAUUUCUAGGUUUUCUGAAAUACCCAAUUGCAAAUUAAUUGCCAAUUAACAUCAUGUAUAUAUAUGUCCCUACAGAUUCUACGAAAAUUAGAGAAGAGAAGAAGAAAAUAACAGAGAAAAGGAAGGAGAGAUUCUCAUAG
rnacentral:lncRNA from 1 species